rnacentral:rRNA from 1 species
UUAAAUUGAAGAGUUUGAUCAUGGCUCAGAUUGAACGCUGGCGGCAGGCUUAACACAUGCAAGUCGAACGGUAACAUGAGUGCUUGCACUUGAUGACGAGUGGCGGACGGGUGAGUAAAGUAUGGGGAUCUGCCGAAUGGAGGGGGACAACAGUUGGAAACGACUGCUAAUACCGCAUAAUGUUGAGAAACCAAAGCAUGGGACUUUCGGGCCAUGCGCCAUUUGAUGAACCCAUAUGGGAUUAGCUAGUUGGUAGGGUAAAGGCUUACCAAGGCGACGAUCUCUAGCUGGUCUGAGAGGAUGACCAGCCACACUGGAACUGAGACACGGUC